CCCCGCACAAGCAGCGGAGCGUGUGGUUUAAUUCGAUGCUACACGCAGAACCUUACCAGGGUUUGACAUGCAAGUGGUAGGAAGCCGAAAGGUGACGACCCUUCGGGAGCUUGCACAGGUGCUGCAUGGCUGUCGUCAGCUCGUGUCGUGAGAUGUUCGGUUAAGUCCGCUAACGAGCGCAACCCUCGCUGUGUGUUAUAUGUGUCACACGGGACUGCCGGUCUUAAGCCGGAGGAAGGUGGGGAUGAUGUCAAGUCAGCAUGGCCUUUAUAUCCUGGGCUACACACACGCUACAAUGGCCAACACAAUAGGUUGCUAAGCCGCGAGGUGGCGCCAAUCCAUAAAGUUGGUCUCAGUUCAGAUUGUAGGCUGCAACCCGCCUGCAUGAAGAUGGAGUUGCUAGUAACCGCAGGUCAGCUAUACUGCGGUGAAUACGUUCCCGGGGCUU
rnacentral:rRNA from 1 species